rnacentral:rRNA from 1 species
AGUGAACGCUAGCGGCAGGCCUAACACAUGCAAGUCGAGGGGCAGCACAAAAGGUAGCUUGCUAUCUUUGGUGGCGACCGGCGCACGGGUGCGUAACGCGUAUGCAACCUACCCAUAACAGGGGGAUAACACUGAGAAAUUGGUACUAAUACCCCAUAACAUCAGAUGUGGCAUCACAUUUGGUUGAAAACUCCGGUGGUUAUGGAUGGGCAUGCGUUGUAUUAGGUAGAUGGCGGGGUAACGGCCCACCAUGCCUACGAUGUCUAGGGGUUCUGAGAGGAAGGUCCCCCACACUGGAACUGAGACACGGUCCAGACUCCUACGGGAGGCAGCAGUGAGGAAUAUUGGUCAAUGGUCUGACGACUGAACCAGCCAUGCCGCGUGAAGGUGACGGCCCUAUGGGUCUUAAACUUCUUUUGUAAGGGAGCAAUAAGGUUCACGUGUGGACUGAUGAGAGUACCUUACGAAUAAGCAUCGGCUAACUCCGUG